UACGGAGGGUGCGAGCGUUGCUCGGAAUCACUGGGCGUAAAGGGUGCGUAGGCGGGUCUUUUAAGUCAGGGGUGAAAUCCUGGAGCUCAACUCCAGAACUGCCUUUGAUACUGAGGAUCUUGAGUUCGGGAGAGGUGAGUGGAACUGCGAGUGUAGAGGUGAAAUUCGUAGAUAUUCGCAAGAACACCAGUGGCGAAGGCGGCUCACUGGCCCGAUACUGACGCUGAGGCACGAAAGCGUGGGGAGCAAACAGGG
rnacentral:rRNA from 1 species